rnacentral:rRNA from 1 species
UUACCCCGGUUGAACUUAAGCAUAUCAAUAAGCGGAGGAAAAGAAACCAACAGGGAUUGCCCUAGUAACGGCGAGUGAAGCGGCAACAGCUCAAAUUUGAAAUCUGGCUCUCGGGCCCGAGUUGUAAUUUGUAGAGGAUGCUUUUGAUGCGGUGCCUUCCGAGUUCCCUGGAACGGGACGCCAUAGAGGGUGAGAGCCCCGUCUGGUUGGAUGCCAAAUCUCUGUAAAGCUCCUUCGACGAGUCGAGUAGUUUGGGAAUGCUGCUCUAAAUGGGAGGUAUAUGUCUUCUAAAGCUAAAUACCGGCCAGAGACCGAUAGCGCACAAGUAGAGUGAUCGAAAGAUGAAAAGCACUUUGAAAAGAGAGUUAAAAAGUACGUGAAAUUGUUGAAAGGGAAGCGUUUAUGACCAGACUUGGGCUUGGUUAAUCAUCUGGGGUUCUCCCCAGUGCACUUUUCCAGUCCAGGCCAGCAUCAGUUUUCGCCGGGGGAUAAAGGCUUCGGGAAUGUGGCUCUCUCCGGGGAGUGUUAUAGCCCGUUGCGUAAUACCCUGGCGGGGACUGAGGUUCGCGCAUCUGCAAGGAUGC